rnacentral:rRNA from 1 species
CCUUUGACGUUAGCGGCGGACGGGUGAGUAACACGUGGGUAACCUACCUAUAAGACUGGGAUAACUUCGGGAAACCGGAGCUAAUACCGGAUAAUAUUUCGAACCGCAUGGUUCGAUAGUGAAAGGUGGUUUUGCUAUCACUUAUAGAUGGACCCGCGCCGUAUUAGCUAGUUGGUAAGGUAACGGCUUACCAAGGCGACGAUACGUAGCCGACAUGAGAGGGUGAUCGGCCACACUGGAACUGAGACACGGUCCAGACUCCUACGGGAGGCAGCAGGC